AGGCAUCUGUAAAUCUAAGGGACUACGGAAACAAGACAGAUACAGAAAAUGGGAACAUGUCUACAAGUGCCAUCUGGCCUAAUACAGACAUGUCCAUAGGUGUUUCCUGAACUCCUCCCAUCAUGAAAGAAUCCUAACUGGACAGCAUUAAGUCUCUGUUCUAGGUCAGCCUUCACAAGGCAUCACUGGCUGGGCAGGAAAGGAAAAGACACGGAGAACUGGUGGCCUCUUCCUCUGCAAGGAAGGCAGAAUUUCACACAUUGGUUCUGCUCCUUUGGCUCCAAGGAAAGGAAUGAGUCUGAAGAGGAGCAGAGGAAGCCUGCUGAUCAAGGACUCUCCAGCAGCUCUGCCUAGAAAGUCAGUGGCUACAUCUACACAGCUUCACAUCUAAAAAAAACCAGACUUGGCACGAGUUUCCUGUGGAGAAGAUGGCUAACACAAAAUAGCACUCACUUGACAGCUUUCGGUUAGACACACACUGCUUGAAACCCCCAGCCCAACUUCAGUUACUAAAGGCAGGCUCGUGCAGACAGACACGGCCAAAACUGA